GGGGAAUUUUGGACAAUGGGGGCAACCCUAAUCCAGCAAUGCCGCGUGAGUGAGGAAGGCCUCGGGGUGGAAAACCCUUUUCGGAGGGAAAAAAAUGGCGGCCUCUAAAAUAGCGGGGGAUGACCGGAACGUUAAGAAGAAGAACCGCUUAACAACGUGCAGCAGCCGCGGUAAUACGUAGGGUGCGAGCGUUAAUCGGAAUUACUGGGCGUAAAGCGUGCGCAGGCGGUUUGGUAAGACAGGUGUGAAAUCCCCGGGCUUAACCUGGGAACUGCGCUUGUGACUGCCAGGCUAGAGUACGGCAGAGGGGGGUGGAAUUCCACGUGUAGCAGUGAAAUGCGUAGAGAUGUGGAGGAACACCGAUGGCGAAGGCAGCCCCCUGGGCCUGUACUGACGCUCAUGCACGAAAGCGUGGGGAGCAAACA
rnacentral:rRNA from 1 species